UACGGAGGGUCCGAGCGUUAUCCGGAAUUAUUGGGUUUAAAGGGUCCGUAGGCGGAUGAUUAAGUCAGGGGUGAAAGUUUGCAGCUCAACUGUAAAAUUGCCUUUGAUACUGUUAGACUUGAGUUAUUGUGAAGUAGUUAGAAUGUGUGGUGUAGCGGUGAAAUGCAUAGAUAUCACACAGAAUACCGAUUGCGAAGGCAGAUCACUAACUAUAUAUUGACGCUGAGGGACGAAAGCGUGGGGAGCGAACGGG
rnacentral:rRNA from 1 species